AAGAAACCAACAGGGAUUGCCUCAGUAACGGCGAGUGAAGCGGCAAAAGCUCAAAUUUUAAAGCUGACAUCUUCGGUGUCCGCGUUGUAAUUUUGUGAGGCAUCUCCGGGUAGGGCGCUGGCCUAAGUUCCUUGGAACAGGACGUCACAGAGGGUGAGAAUCCCGUGCUUGGCUGGCUGUCCCCGUCCAUGUGAGGUGUCUUCGACGAGUCGAGUUGUUUGGGAAUGCAGCUCAAAAUGGGUGGUAAAUUUCAUCUAAAGCUAAAUAUUGGUGGGAGACCGAUAGCGCACAAGUAGAGUGAUCGAAAGAUGAAAAGCACUUUGAAAAUAGAGUUAAAAAGUACGUGAAAUUGUUGAAAGGGAAGCGCUUGAGACCAGACUUCGGUAAGGGGUGAUCAGCCGUCCUUUUGGGCGGUGCACUUGCCCCCCUCCGGGCCAGCAUCGGUUGAGGCGGCGGGAUAAAGGUCCCGGGAAUGUGGCUCCUUCACGGGAGUGUUAUAGCCCGGGUGAAUGCCGCCAGCUUCGACCGAGGACCGCACCCGCAAGGGUUAGGAUGCUUGGCAUAAUGGUCU
rnacentral:rRNA from 1 species